UUAAUUGUAGGAAAUUAAACUUGAGGGACCAAAAUGUAAAGUUUGCUGAAGCAACUUUGAUGACCCUACAUGACUGUGUAAAACUUGAUGACCAAGUUUGUUAACUUGCUGAGAAAGACUCAGGCCCUUACAAAUACUCAUCCCUUUUCUUUCUUGGGACUUAACUUUACUCAACACUCACUCCUCAAAGCUUGCUCACUCUGCUAUUCCCUCUGUUUUAGCUCUGUUUUGAUUCAACAGAUUCUUUUUCUUACUGAAAUGAAAAUGAAGGCCAGCGCUCUGAAAUGCCGAAAACAAGAGUGUUCACCAAGGAGAGGCCAGAUCAAGAAAAAGAUAUAUAAGAUGAUCUUAAAACACACUCUUACUGUCGUGCUUCGCGAUAUCGGUUUUGUCUUGAAGAAAAAGAAGGGUAGCUUGAAAGGCUAUUAGCUUGAAUUGUUAAACACCAGAUGAGAAUCCAGUUUUGUGAUUUGUUUCAUCAACUUGUUGUAUGUUGUGUACUUGUGCUGUGGCGUCUCUCUAAUGUUGUAUGUAGGUUUCUCUCUGACUCAGAGUCUCAGAGUGAUAGAAGUGAGUUACGUGUCUUUUUCCACAGCAACAUCUUAUUUCAUUGUCAAUAUUGUGUUCAAAUUUUGAGUUGGUCGAUUGGAAUUUCAAAUUAUCUUUAAAAUAUUGGAGGUUAUUUUAUUACUAGGAUUUAGUUAAAGUGAUUUUCUAUAUAGUGUGCCCAAGGGCACACAAUAGUCCCUAACGCCAACAAAAAUAGCUCUUUUUGAUUGGUGGAUAAAUAAUAAAUGAUAAUGACCCCC
rnacentral:lncRNA from 1 species